rnacentral:misc_RNA from 1 species
AAAAUAAUCCUACCCUUUGUGAAUUUUGUUUGUUUGAAUAAUUUUUUUUUUUUAAAAAAUUAUUGGAGUCUUUCCCUUUAGAGUUUGCUUUUGAGUUUGUAAAAGAAUUCGAAAACAUCCAAAGGGGAUGGUCAAUAAUUUUUUUUGAAAAAAGACAUUUUUUAAAAUUAAACUUUUUGUAUUCAUUUGUCUAAAAAUUAUUUUUAUAAUAUAAAAACAACUUUUGACAAUGGAUCUCUUGGUUCUCGCAACGAUGAAGAACGCAGCAAAAUGCGAUAGUAGUGUGAAUUGCAGAAUACGUGAAUCAUCGAAUCUUUGAACGCAUAUUGCACUUUUUUAGUUUACUAAAAGAGUAUGUCUGUUUGAGUAUCAGUAAAAUAUUCUCAUAAAAAUCAUUGUGUAUUUUUAUGGUUAUGAGUGUUUUACAACGAUACAAGUUGUUUCACUUUAAAUUUUUUUUUAAUAUUGAAAUUUUUCUAAUUUUAAUAAUUAAAAUUGGAUAAAAUUUUCCCGUCAAAAGGAAUAACCUAAACAAUUUUAAAUGAUUAAUUUUAGCAAAAUUUUCGUAAAAAAGGAAAAUUUUUAUUAAAAUAACUUGAUCUCAAAUCAGAUAAGAGUACCCGCUGAACUUAAGCAUAUCAAUAAGCGGAGGAAAAGAAACUAACAAGGAUUCCCUUAGUAACGGCGAGUGAAGCGGGAAGAGCUCAAAUUUGAAAUCUUCAAGGUUUUACCUUGACGAAUUGUAGUUUAAAGAAGUGUUUUCUGCUGAAGUUUUGGUAAAAGUUCUUUGGAAUAGGACAUCAUAGAGGGUGAGAAUCCCGUAUUUGACCAUUAUCUUCAGCUUUGUGAUACACUUUCAAAGAGUCGGAUUGUUUGGGAAUGCAGUCCAAAAUGGGUGGUAAAUUUCAUCUAAAGCUAAAUAUUGGCGAGAGACCGAUAGCGAACAAGUACCGUGAGGGAAAGAUGAAAAGAACUUUGAAAAGAGAGUUAAACAGUACGUGAAAUUGUCAAAAGGGAAGCGUUUGACACCAGUGUUGUUUUCUCGAAAAUCAAUUAAAAAUGGCUCGAUUUUGUAUUGCUGAGACCUUAAAAGCUCACUGUACAUUUUUCGUGUCUUUUUAAUGCACUUUUCGUUUAACAAGUCAACAUCAGUUUCUUUUGUUGUAAAAGGGUCAUUGGAAGGUGGCUUUCUUUUCGGAGAAAGUGUUUAUAGCCUUUGGCCUCUGCAAUCGAAGAGACUGAGGUCUGCAGCGUAGACUCUUCGGGGUUAGAUACAUUUGUGCUAAGUUAUAGCUUUUUAUAGACAACUUGUUGACUAUAAUUAGUCUUGUAGCUUACUCGCUUAUGCUAUUUUACCUACGCUUAGAUG